AACAUUGUUAGCAUUUAUUUUUUGUGAUUACUUGAUGGAUGUCUGCCUCCUCCACUAGACCCUAUGAUUUUAAGUGUCAGAAAUAUGCCAGUAUCCAUUCACCAUUUUAUCCUCUCUGUCCAGAACAGCACCAGACACAUGGAAAGGACUCCACAAAUACUUGUUAAAUGAAUGAAUUCUGAUUCACCUGGCUCGAAAUUUCUUAAGGAAUAAUCAUAUCAUGCUUUUGCUCAGGGAGUGUGGCCACAAUAUCUGGAAAUACUGCUAAAGAAGUAAGAACACAAGUGAAGAUUGAACUUGAAGAUUAGGGAUACCCUUUUUGUAAACAGUAGAUGAAAAAGGAAUGUAUAGUCAGGGAAUGGAGACACCAUUGAAAUAGAAGAGAUUUCAACAUGCUUCAAUAUAAAAAGAAGAGUUUUCUAGAAAGGUGUGGCUCUAGAUCAGAAAUAUGAGGUCAAGGGAAAUUUAUUUCUCAUCUCACAUGGAGAAUACUAAGAAGUGUUAUAGGAAAGAGAAAAUAAACAUAUGAUGCAACGGAGAGAGAUAGUAAGUCCUUGAGAAGACACAAAGAAAGGAGGAAGGGAACAGGACUGACGUUUUAUGCUGUGUGGUUUAAAUGUUCGGAUAUUCGUAUUCAUAUUUUUUACUUCCAUGUUAUUUGUCCUCUAGA
rnacentral:lncRNA from 10 species